rnacentral:rRNA from 1 species
UACGGAGGGGGCUAGCGUUGUUCGGAAUUACUGGGCGUAAAGCGCACGUAGGCGGCUUUGUAAGUUAGAGGUGAAAGCCUGGGGCUCAACUCCAGAAUUGCCUUUAAGACUGCAUCGCUUGAAUCGCGGAGAGGUGAGUGGAAUUCCGAGUGUAGAGGUGAAAUUCGUAGAUAUUCGGAAGAACACCAGUGGCGAAGGCGGGCUCACUGACGCGUAUUGACGCUGAGGUGGCGAAAGCGUGGGGAGCAAACAGG